CUGUAUCCGCCAUUCUGGAUGAGCGUAGCUGAUUGUAACCAUUCAAGUUAAUGUGUCAAUUUCCACCGGCUUCUUUCCAUUUCAGGCGGAUCGUAUGUCAUACCCUGCAAAUGGGCGGAGACGAACAAAUGAACGAACAAGCAUUUCAUCCAGAUGACACCAUGGAUGAGGAGAUGCUGAUUCUAGAAGUCUAGAAGUAGAUUUCCUCCUCUGGAAGGACACAAUCUACUGCUUAUAUGGUUAGCCUAUGUGGCUAGAGACGAUUUGUUAUCAUGUGAUUGUACCUGAAUCUGUGGAUUCUUGUCAUGAAAUUCACCUCACAAACAGAUCUGGUAGGAAAUGGCGGAAGGCGAAAACCGCUGCGGUUCCGGAUUGGAGCCAUUCCAGAUGCUGUGAAAAUUGGGGGUUAGACGCUGUCCAACGUCGAAGAUGUGACUCCACCCCAUCCAGUCUGUAACAAAGAGGGAAAGACAGGUGAGGAGAUGGAGGACGGUUCAAAAGUUUUUAGCGUUGUAGACAAAGUUAAUGUGGGAGAGGGUAAGUAGCUUGUGGAGUAGUUAUCAUCCAUUUAUUGUUAUCGAGGUGAACUGAUCAAUAUAUCCUGAUAUUGAUUUGAGGUCAUAUCAUCCAGCCUUACACUGAGCCACAGCCACCCCCUGAUUCUCCAUGUGGUAGACCCCUGACCUGUCCAGGAUGUACCCUGCCUCUCACCCGAUGACAGCAGAAAUAGCCUUCAUGACUUCCAGAUGGUUUGAACUGGAC